rnacentral:rRNA from 1 species
AGUGAACGCUGGCGGUAGGCCUAACACAUGCAAGUCGAACGGCAGCACAGUAAGAGCUUGCUCUUACGGGUGGCGAGUGGCGGACGGGUGAGGAAUACAUCGGAAUCUACUUUUUCGUGGGGGAUAACGUAGGGAAACUUACGCUAAUACCGCAUACGACCUACGGGUGAAAGCAGGGGAUCUUCGGACCUUGCGCGAUUGAAUGAGCCGAUGUCGGAUUAGCUAGUUGGCGGGGUAAAGGCCCACCAAGGCGACGAUCCGUAGCUGGUCUGAGAGGAUGAUCAGCCACACUGGAACUGAGACACGGUCCAGACUCCUACGGGAGGCAGCAGUGGGGAUUAUUGGACAAUGGGCGCAAGCCUGCUCCAGCCAUACCGCGUGGGUGAAGAAGGCCUUCGGGUUGUAAAGCCCUUUUGUUGGGAAAGAAAAGCAGCAGGUUAAUACCCCGCUGUUCUGACGGUACCCAAAGAAUAAGCACCGGCUAACUUCGUG